rnacentral:rRNA from 1 species
GUUAUAGGGUCAAGCGAACAAGUGCAUGUGGUGGAUGCCUUGGCGAUCACAGGCGAUGAAGGACGCGGUAGCCUGCGAAAAGCUACGGGGAGCUGGCAAACGAGCUUUGAUCCGUAGAUGUCCGAAUGGGGAAACCCACUCCUUAUGGAGUAUCCAUGGCUGAAUACAUAGGCCAUGUGAAGCGAACGCGGUGAACUGAAACAUCUAAGUAACCGCAGGAAAAGAAAUCAACCGAGAUUCCCAAAGUAGUGGCGAGCGAAAUGGGAUGAGCCUUGCACUCUUUAUUUGUAUUGUUAGCCGAACGCUCUGGAAAGUGCGGCCAUAGCAGGUGAUAGCCCUGUAGGCGAAAACAGUAUGAAAGAACUAGGUGUGCGACAAGUAGGGCGGGACACGUGAAAUCCUGUCUGAAGAUGGGGGGACCAUCCUCCAAGGCUAAAUACUCGUGAUCGACCGAUAGUGAACCAGUACCGUGAGGGAAAGGCGAAAAGAACCCCGGGAGGGGAGUGAAAUAGAUCCUGAAACCGCAUGCAUACAAACAGUCGGAGCCUCGUAAGGGGUGACGGCGUACCUUUUGUAUAAUGGGUCAGCGACUUACGUUCAGUAGCAAGCUUAACCGUAUAGGGCAGGCGUAGCGAAAGCGAGUCCGAAUAGGGCGUUCAGUUGCUGGGCGUAGACCCGAAACCAGGUGAUCUAUCCAUGGCCAGGAUGAAGGUGCGGUAACACGUACUGGAGGUCCGAACCCACUAACGUUGAAAAGUUAGGGGAUGAGCUGUGGAUAGGGGUGAAAGGCUAAACAAACCUGGAAAUAGCUGGUUCUCUCCGAAAACUAUUUAGGUAGUGCCUCGUGUCUCACCUUCGGGGGUAGAGCACUGUCAUGGUUGGGGGGUCUAUUGCAGAUUACCCCGCCAUAGCAAACUCCGAAUACCGAAGAGUGCAAUCACGGGAGACAGACAUCGGGUGCUAACGUCCGGUGUCAAGAGGGAAACAACCCAGACCGCCAGCUAAGGUCCCCAAAUAUAGCUAAGUGGGAAACGAAGUGGGAAGGCUAAAACAGUCAGGAGGUUGGCUUAGAAGCAGCCACCCUUUAAAGAAAGCGUAAUAGCUCACUGAUCGAGUCGUCCUGCGCGGAAGAUGUAACGGGGCUAAGCUAUAUACCGAAGCUGCGGAUGCGAGCUUGCUCGCAUGGUAGGAGAGCGUUCCGUAAGCCUGCGAAGGUGCCUUGUAAAGGGUGCUGGAGGUAUCGGAAGUGCGAAUGCUGACAUGAGUAGCGAUAAAGGGGGUGAAAGGCCCCCUCGCCGUAAGCCCAAGGUUUCCUACGCAACGUUCAUCGGCGUAGGGUGAGUCGGCCCCUAAGGCGAGGCAGAAAUGCGUAGCUGAUGGGAAGCAGGUCAAUAUUCCUGCACCAUUGUUAGAUGCGAUGGGGGGACGGAUCGCGGAAGGUUGUCCGGGUGUUGGA